rnacentral:rRNA from 1 species
UUCCGGUUGAUCCUGCCGGAGCCCAUUGCUAUCGGGGUCCGAUUUAGCCAUGCUAGUCGCACGGGUUCAGACCCGUGGCGAAAAGCUCAGUGACACGUGGCCAAACUACCCUGUGGAUCGGGACAACCUCGGGAAACUGAGGCCAAUCCCGAAUAGGGCUCACAGUCUGGAGUGGCGUGAGUCCGAAACGCUCCAGCGCCACAGGAUGUGGCUGCGGCCGAUUAGGUUGACGGUGGGGUAACGGCCCACCGUGCCCAUAAUCGGUACGGGUUGUGAGAGCAAGAGCCCGGAGACGGUAUCUGAGACAAGAUACCGGGCCCUACGGGGCGCAGCAGGCGCGAAACCUUUACACUGCGCGAGAGCGCGAUAAGGGGACCCCGAGUGCGAGGGCAUAUAGUCCUUCGCUUUUCUGGACUGUAGGGAGGUCCAAGAAUAGGGGCUGGGCAAGACCGGUGCCAGCCCGCCGCGGUAAUACCGGCAGCCCGAGUGAUGGCCGAAUU